CUCAUUCUCUAGUCCCUGCGACAAAUAAACUUGAAGCUCAUUUAGAUGGGAAAUUUCAUCUAAAUUUUCCCUUGAGUACCCCUGAAAUCCGUCCACGAUUUAAGAGCUGUUAAGCCAGCAACUCUUUUAGACGCCUGUGACGUAGACGAAGUAGGGGUUGGAAUAUUAGGCCUAGCAUGCUUUAACGCAUGUUUAUAAGCAUUAUAAACAGUUUGAGCAUUCAGAUAAUGCGUUUUUGCAUAGUCCAGUCUUCGUCUAUCCAAUGACUGGUUACGGUUAGAUAAUCA
rnacentral:lncRNA from 1 species